rnacentral:rRNA from 1 species
CCCUUAGACGUUCUGGGCCGCACGCGCGCUACACUGGUGCGUUCAACAAGUUUACAACCUUGAUUGACAAGUCUGGGUAAUCUUUUGAAUGCGCACCGUGCUAGGGAUAGAUUAUUGCAAUUAUUAAUCUUGAACGAGGAAUUCCUAGUAAACGCAAGUCAUCAGCUUGCAUUGAUUACGUCCCUGCCCUUUGUACACACCGCCCGUCGCACCUACUGAUUGAAUGACUCGGUGAAAAAUUGGGACUGUGAAAACAAUUGAUUCAGUUCAAAUGUUUUCGUGGAAACUUUUUUUAACCUCGUUAUUUAGAAGAAGGUGAAGUCGUAACA